CGGCGGACGGGUGAGUAACACGUGGAUAACCUACCUAUAAGACUGGGAUAACUUCGGGAAACCGGAGCUAAUACCGGAUAAUAUAUUGAACCGCAUGGUUCAAUAGUGAAAGACGGUUUUGCUGUCACUUAUAGAUGGAUCCGCGCCGCAUUAGCUAGUUGGUAAGGUAACGGCUUACCAAGGCAACGAUGCGUAGCCGACCUGAGAGGGUGAUCGGCCACACUGGAACUGAGACACGGUCCAGACUCCUACGGGAGGCAGCAGUAGAGAAUCUUCCGCAAUGGGCGAAAGCCUGACGGAGCAACGCCGCGUGAGUGAUGAAGGUCUUCGGAUCGUAAAACUCUGUUAUUAGGGAAGAACAAAUGUGUAAGUAACUAUGCACGUCUUGACGGUACCUAAUCAGAAAGCCAUGGCUAACUACGUGCCAGCAGCCGCGGUAAUACGUAGGUGGCAAGCGUUAUCCGGAAUUAUUGGGCGUAAAGCGCGCGUAGGCGGUUUUUUAAGUCUGAUGUGAAAGCCCACGGCUCAACCGUGGAGGGUCAUUGGAAACUGGAAAACUUGAGUGCAGAAGAGGAAAGUGGAAUUCCAUGUGUAGCGGUGAAAUGCGCAGAGAUAUGGAGGAACACCAGUGGCGAAGGCGACUUUCUGGUCUGUAACUGACGCUGAUGUGCGAAAGCGUGGGGAUCAAACAGGAUUAGAUACCCUGGUAGUCCACGCCGUAAACGAUGAGUGCUAAGUGUUAGGGGGUUUCCGCCCCUUAGUGC
rnacentral:rRNA from 1 species